CCUGGCUCAGGAUGAACGCUAGCGGCAGGCCUAACACAUGCAAGUCGAGGGAGGAGCCUUCGGGCUUCGACCGGCGUACGAGUGCGUAACGCGUAUACAAUCUUCCUUUCACCUAGGGAUAGCCCGAAGAAAUUUGGAUUAAUACCUAAUGGUAUACAGAUGUUGCAUCACAUUUAUAUUAAAGCUGAGGCGGUGAAAGAUGAGUAUGCGUUCUAUUAGCUAGUUGGAGAGGUAACGGCUCCCCAAGGCUACGAUAGAUAGGGGUUCUGAGAGGGAUAUCCCCCACACUGGUACUGAGAUACGGACCAGACUCCUACGG
rnacentral:rRNA from 1 species